rnacentral:rRNA from 1 species
UACGUAGGCAGCAAGCGUUGUUCGGAGUUACUGGGCGUAAAGGGUGUGUAGGCGGUUCCUUAAGUUUGCUGUGAAAUCUCCCGGCUUAACCGGGAGGGUGCGGUGAAUACUGAGGGACUAGAGUCCUGGAGAGGGUCGUGGAAUUCCCGGUGUAGCGGUGAAAUGCGUAGAGAUCGGGAGGAACACCAGCGGCGAAGGCGGCGACCUGGACAGGUACUGACACUCAACUACGAAAGCGUGGGGAGCAAACAGG